UACGGGGGGAGCAAGCGUUGUUCGGAUUUACUGGGCGUAAAGGGCGCGUAGGCGGCCACCGCAAGUCGACUGUGAAAUCUCCGGGCUUAACCCGGAAAGGUCAGCCGAUACUGCGGGGCUAGAGUGCAGAAGGGGCAACUGGAAUUCUCGGCGUAGCGGUGAAAUGCGUAGAUAUCGAGAGGAACACCUGCGGCGAAGGCGGGUUGCUGGGCUGACACUGACGCUGAUGCGCGAAAGCUAGGGGAGCGAACGGG
rnacentral:rRNA from 1 species